CGUGUUUGCUUCAACACGCAUAACUAAAAUUGGAAUGGUACAGAGAUGAUUAGCAUAGCCCUUACACAGGAGGGCACUCACGUCUGUGAAGCAUUCCGAGUUUUU
ensembl:snRNA LOC120095362 U6 spliceosomal RNA